UCGAUUAUUCGCACCAACCAUAGGAUGGUGGGUUAGCGCGCGGCCUCGAUCGCCAUGUAACCCGCCCCGGAGGCGGGUUUU
rnacentral:sRNA from 1 species